GGAUUGUAUAAACAGGUUUUAAUUUGGGGAGGAAGGGGCAGUUAAGGUUAAUACGCGUGUCUAUUUGAGACGGUUACCGGACAGUAAUAAGGGCAUCCGGCUUAAUUUCGUCGCUCAGCAGCGGGCGGUAAUACGAUAGGGGCAAAGGAUUAAUCGGAAAUUAGUGGGUUAAUAGAGCAAGUAGGGGGUUGAGUUAAGUUAGAGCUGAAAGCCCCUGGCUCAACCUGGGAGCUGCAUACAAAACAGGCGAGCUAGACUAUGUCAGAGGGUGGAGAAAGUUCAGGUGUAGCGGUGAAAUGAGUAGAUAUAGGAAGGAACACCAGUGGCGAAGGGGACCACAUGGUCUAAUUCUGACUCGGAGGUUGGAAAGAAUGGGGAGCGAACAGCAUUAGAUCCCAGGGUAGUGCAAGCCGUAAACGAUGUCGAAUACUCCGUUGGGAUCCUUGAGAUAUUAUCGGGGCA
rnacentral:rRNA from 1 species